UGCCACUCUUUUGCCAGUUCUCAGCCU
rnacentral:piRNA from 1 species